UUCCGGUUGAUCCUGCGGAGGCUACUGCUAUUGGGGUUCGAUUAAGCCAUGCAUGUUGGGGUUUCUGGCAAUGAAACCCAGCAAACAGCUCAGUAACACAUGGACAAUCUACUCUUAAGAGGAGGAUAACCUCGGGAAACUGAGGGUAAUACUCCAUAGGUGAGAGACUCUGGAAUGACUCUCACUGAAAGGACAUUGACCUGUUGCCGGUCAAUGUUGCUUAAGAGAGAGUCUGUGGCGGAUUAGGUAGACGUUAGGGUAACGGCCUAACGUGCCAACGAUCCGUACCGGCUAUGGGAGUAGGAGCCGGGAGAUGGAUACUGAGACAAAGAUCCAGGCCCUACGGGGCGCAGCAGGCGCGAAACCUCCACAAUGCGCGAAAGCGUGAUGGGGGAACCCCAAGUGUCCCUGUACAACAGGGACUUUUAUAGAGUGUAAAAAGCUCUAUGAAUAAGGGCUGGGUGAGACCGGUGCCAGCCUCCGCGGUAACACCGGCAGCUCAAGUGGUAGCCGCGUUUACUGGGCUUAAAGCGUCCGUAGUCGGUCUGGUAAGUUCUUUGUGAAAUCCUAUGACUCAAUCAUAGGGCUUGCAGAGAAUACUGCCAGACUUGGAACCGGAAGAGGUCAGGGGAAUUCUCGGGGUAGCGGUGAAAUGCUAUAAUCCCGGGAAGACCACCGAUAGCGAAGGCACCUGACUGGGACGGGUUCGACGAUGAGGGACGAAAGCUAGGGGAGCAAACCGGAUUAGAUACCCGGGUAGUCCUAGCCGUAAACGAUGUGGGCUAAGUGUUUCUUGAACUUCGUGUUCAAGAAGUGUUGAAGGGAAACCGUUAAGCCCACCGCCUGGGGAGUACGGUCGCAAGGCUGAAACUUAAAGGAAUUGGCGGGGGAGCACCACAAGGGGUGGAGUCUGCGGUUUAAUUGGAUCAACGCCGGAAAU
rnacentral:rRNA from 1 species